rnacentral:rRNA from 1 species
GACGAACGCUGGCGGCGUGCUUAACACAUGCAAGUCGAACGAAGAGCGAUGGAAGCUUGCUUCUAUCAAUCUUAGUGGCGAACGGGUGAGUAACGCGUAAUCAACCUGCCCUUCAGAGGGGGACAACAGUUGGAAACGACUGCUAAUACCGCAUACGAUCUAAUCUCGGCAUCGAGGAUAGAUGAAAGGUGGCCUCUACAUGUAAGCUAUCACUGAAGGAGGGGAUUGCGUCUGAUUAGCUAGUUGGAGGGGUAACGGCCCACCAAGGCGAUGAUCAGUAGCCGGUCUGAGAGGAUGAACGGCCACAUUGGGACUGAGACACGGCCCAGACUCCUACGGGAGGCAGCAGUGGGGAAUCUUCCGCAAUGGACGAAAGUCUGACGGAGCAACGCCGCGUGAGUGAUGACGGCCUUCGGGUUGUAAAGCUCUGUUAAUCGGGACGAAAGGCCUUCUUGCG